GAAUAUUGGACAAUGGGCGAAAGCCUGAUCCAGCAACGCCGCGUGAGGGAUGACGGCCUUCGGGUUGUAAAGCCCUUUUGCAGGGGAAGAUGAUGACGGUACCCUGCGAAUAAGCCACGGCUAACUACGUGCCAGCAGCCGCGGUAAUACGUAGGUGGCGAGCGUUGUCCGGAUUUACUGGGCGUAAAGGGCGUGCAGGCGGUCUGUUAAGUCUAGGGUGAAAGCUCCCGGCUCAACUGGGAGAGGUCCUUGGAUACUGGCGGACUUGAGGGAGGCAGAGGAAAGUGGAAUUCCCGGUGUAGUGGUGAUAUGCGUAGAUAUCGGGAGGAACACCAGUGGCGAAGGCGGCUUUCUGGGCCUUACCUGACGCUGAGACGCGAAAGCGUGGGGAGCGAACCGG
rnacentral:rRNA from 1 species